rnacentral:rRNA from 1 species
UCCGGUUGAUCCUGCCAGAGGUUACUGCUAUCGAGGUUCGACUAAGCCAUGCGAGUCGAAUGUAGCAAUACAUGGCGUACUGCUCAGUAACACGUGGACAACCUACCCUCCGGACGGGUAUAAACCCGGGAAACUGGGUAUAAUCCCCGAUAGAUCUCGGUCGCUGGAAUGCUCCGAGAUCGAAAGCUCCGGCGCCGGAGGAUGGGUCUGCGGCCUAUCAGGUAGUAGUGGGUGUAGCGUACCUACUAGCCUACGACGGGUACGGGUUGUGAGAGCAAGAGCCCGGAGAUGGAUUCUGAGACACGAAUCCAGGCCCUACGGGGUGCAGCAGGCGCCAAAACUUUACAAUGCCGGCAACGGCGAUAAGGGGACCUCGAGUGCCAGGUUACAAAUCUGGCUGUCGUGAUGCCUAAAAAGCAUUGCAUUGCAAGGGCCGGGCAAGACCGGUGCCAGCCGCCGCGGUAACACCGGCGGCUCGAGUGGUAACCGUUAUUAUUGGGUCUAAAGGGUCUGUAGCCGGCCGGAUAAGUCUCUUGAGAAAUCCAGCAGCUCAACUGUUGGGCUUUCAGGAGAUACUGUUCGGCUCGAGGCCGGGAGAGGUGAGAGGUACUUCAGGGGUAGGGGUGAAAUCUUGUAAUCCUUGAAGGACCACCAGUGGCGAAGGCGUCUCACCAGAACGGACCUGACGGCAAGGGACGAAAGCUAGGGGCACGAACCGGAUUAGAUACCCGGGUAGUCCUAGCCGUAAACGAUACUCGCUAGGUGUCGGCCACGGUGCGACCGUUGUCGGUGCCGUAGGGAAGCCGCGAAGCGAGCCACCUGGGAAGUACGGCCGCAAGGCUGAAACUUAAAGGAAUUGGCGGGGGAGCACCACAACGGGUGGAGCUUGCGGUUUAAUUGGAUUCAACGCCGGAAAUCUUACCGGGACCGACAGCAAUAUGAAGGCCAGGCUGAAGACUUUGCCGGAUUAGCUGAGAGGUGGUGCAUGGCCGUCGUCAGUUCGUACUGUGAAGCAUCCUGUUAAGUCAGGCAACGAGCGAGACCCA